rnacentral:rRNA from 1 species
UGGGGAAUUUUGCGCAAUGGGCGAAAGCCUGACGCAGCAACGCCGCGUGGGUGAUGAAGGUCUUCGGAUCGUAAAACCCUGUCGUCAGGGACGAAGGUCGGGGCGUGAAUAGCUCCUUGGCUUGACGGUACCUGGAGAGGAAGCCCCGGCUAACUCUGUGCCAGCAGCCGCGGUAAUACAGAGGGGGCAAGCGUUAUUCGGUAUUAUUGGGCGUAAAGGGCGCGUAGGCGGUGUCUUAAGUGGGAUGUGCAAUCCCCGGGCUUAACCUGGGAACUGCAUCCCAGACUGGGAAGCUGGAGUACUGGAGAGGGUGGUGGAAUUCCACGUGUAGCGGUGAAAUUCGUAGAGAUGUGGAGGAACACCAGUGGCGAAGGCGGCCACCUGGACAGUAACUGACGCUGAGGCGCGAAAGUGUGGGUAGCAAACA